rnacentral:rRNA from 1 species
GCGACUUCGUGAUCUGUUUCGACAGAUCAAUGCGAGAGCAUGGGCAUACGCGGUGAACUGAAACAUCUAAGUAGCCGCAGGACUAGAAAUCAAUCGAGAUUCCCUUAGUAGAGGCGAUCGGAAGGGGAAUUAUGCACAAACUGAACGAAGCUCCGAGAGGAUCUUUGGAUGUGGGUUUUGGCCGUCUUUGGAACCGAUUCUCCUAGGUAAAGUUUGCUGGAAAGCAACACCAUAGAGAGUGAUAGUCUCGUAGUCAAUGGAGAAAACGUUCUUGGACGUGCCGAGAGUAGCAUGGGUUGGAAAUCCUGUGUGAAUAUGGGAGGCACUAUGUCUUCCAAUGCUGAAUACUUCUCGAGUCCGAUAGCGCACUAAGUACUGUGAAGGAAAGCUGAAAAGCACCCCUAGAAAGGGGUUGAAAAGAGCCUAAAACUAUCUGGUGGUAGGUUAGAUACGGCAUUAAAGCAUCGAAACUCUUUAACGAACUUGGCGAGAGCCUCUAGUAGGACAGAAUGGAGCAGUGUCGUAUCAUCCGUUUUGAAAAACGGGGCAGGGAGUUUGUUGCCGUGGCAAGGCUAACCACCUUUCGGUGGGGAGUCACAGGGAAACCAAGAAGUCCGCAAUGCUUUGCAUGAGGGACCGCGUUAUAAUCAGCGUGAAGUCACCGCAACAUGAUCCGAAACCGGUCGAUCCUGGUCUGGCUAGGUUGAAGCGGCGCGAAAGCUCCGUGGAGGACCGAACCGCUGCUGCGAUGCAAGCGCUCGGAUAAGCUGGAUCAAGGGGUGAAAUGUCAAUCGAGAUCGGUGAUGGCUGGUUCCUUUCGAAAUAGAUCGAAGUCUAGCCUCAGGCGAGACGGCUCACGAGGUAAAGCUACUGAUUCUGGGUUCCUGAGUUCGCGCUCAGGCCCGGAGUCAAACUCUGAACUCUUGAGCGUUGCAGACCCUGGGAGCGAGGGGCGGUGCGUAAGGUACCGUUCCGAGAGGGAAACAACCCAGAGCAAGGUUAAGGCCCCCAAUUCCUGACUAAGUGUCUUUUGAAGGGAGUCACGGUUCUCAGACAGCGGGGAGGUUAGCUUAGAAGCAGCUACCCUUUAAAGAUAGCGUAACAGCUCACCCGUUGAGAGCUGUGGCACCUAAAAUGGACGGGGCUCAAGUCAGGAGCCGAGACCUUGCCAUCGUCUCUGACGAUGGAUAGAAAGGCGAUCUGUGUGGACAGAAGCACGGCCGUGAGGUCGCGUGGACCGCAUAGAUACGAAAAUCCUGCCGGCAGUACCAGCGACAGACAGGUGAGAAUCCUGUCCACCGUAAGAGGAAGGGUUCCUCAGCAAUGAUUAUCAGCUGAGGGUUAGUCGAUCCUAAUCCAGUCCGUAAUUCGAGACUGGAGAACAGGUAAUCAGGUUAAUACUCCUGAACCAAUCUGUAUCAUCUUCGUCUCGGGAUAUCGGAAGCUGCGUCUUCGCGCAGUCCAAGCAGUUAAUGUGUGCAAGCGUAAUGCAUCGACCACAUGAAACUGUGAUGGGUCUGGGAAUAAUCCCGGAUCUCCGAGAUUCCUGGGACCUUUGAAAAGAUACAGACGGCCGUACCAAGAACCAGCACAGGUCCUCUGGCUGAGUAGGCUAAGGUGUCUCGGGUAUAAACUCGGCUUAGGGAAUUCGGCAAGUUAGCUCCGUACGUUCGCAAGAUGGAGUACCUAUCCACUCGCUUGGAUAGGUUUCAAUAACUAGGCCGGCUCGACUGUUUACUAAAAACAUAGCCGACUGCUAGUCCGAAAGGAUUUGUAUAGUCGGCGACUCUUGCCCAGUGCCAGCACCUGAAACCUCCGUUCAGGGAGAAGAAGGGCUGGUAAACGGCGGCAGUAACUAUGACUGUCUUAAGGUUACUUUUAGUUGCCUUAAUAAAAUCUGGCUAUAUGCUGGAACGUCUCUACGAUGUAGAAACAGACUACUGUUCUCUAAAGAGAGCAGCGACCUCUAAAAGUGUUCUACAAAGAGAUAACCAGCAGGAAAGACUUCCAAGUUUGGAAGAAUCCUCAGAGACUGUACGUCAGACCCGUUAGAUCGGGAAGAUACAGUCCGACCUUCACGGCGACGUGAAGAGGUUGCCUCGCAGCGACACGCCUUUCUCAAGAUUGAGAGGUCAGUAUCGGUCUUUUUCCGAGAAAGUAACAGAUGUGAGCGUAGUCCCUUGCCAACUAAUUGUUGGCCCGCAUCAAUAGAGGAACGAGGUCGGCACUGUCCCAAGCCGUGGCCCGGUGAACCCACCAUACCGGCGCAUAGGCCGGUGACUUCUAGUGGGAAGCGAAGACCCUGUGAACCUUUACUGCAGUCUGUCGUUGCUGCGGGGGUCCGAGUGUGAAGUGUAGUUAGGAGACGUUACAGAGAUGCAUGCGCUAGCAUGUCGCCCAGUCGCCCAUUGGACACUAACCUCUCGGAACCCCGCGGCUUACCUCUACGGAGGGACAGCCACAGCUGGGCAGUUUAACUGGGGCGGUAUCCAUCUGAUAAUAAAUCAGAUGGGUCCAAAGGUAGGCUCAGUCCGGUCAGAAAUCGGACGUAGAGUACAAGGAUAAAAGCCUGCCUGACUGGUUCCUUAUCAAUACGAGAACCAGGCGCGAAAGCGUGGCCUAGCGAACCCCUGUGGCCAACUAGUGAGGCCCAGGUAUGACAGAAAAGGUACUCCAGGGAUAACUGGAUUGUCUAGGGCGCGAGCUCACAUCGACCCCUAGGCUUGUUACUUCGAUGUCGGCUCUCCGUAUCCUGGCUGUGCAACAGCAGCCAAGGGUGGGGGUGUUCACCCAUUAAAACGGAUCGUGAGCUGGGUUUAGAUCGUCGUGAGACAGAUCUGUUGCUAUCUGCUAGAAGUGUUUUUGUGGUCUGAGAGGAAAGUCCGGACAGUACGAAAGGAACCCUGGACUGAGGCCUCUGGUGUAUCUGUCGUCCGGAAGGGCGGUGCAGAGUAGCCACGCCUCAUAGUCGUAAGAGCUGAAAGCAUCUAAGCUCGAAAGAUUCCUCAAAAAGAGACCGCUUCCGUUCUUGUAGAAGACAAGUUUGAUAGAGUGGCGGUGUAAGAACCAAGGCAACGAGGUUCUCAGCCGACCACUACUAAACACGGGUUCCAACUCG